UACAGAGGGGCAAGCGUUGUUCGGAAUUACUGGGCGUAAAGGGCGCGUAGGCGGCCUUCUAAGUCGAACGUGAAAUCCCCGGGCUCAACCCGGGAACUGCGUCCGAUACUGGAAGGCUUGAAUCCGGGAGAGGGAUGCGGAAUUCCAGGUGUAGCGGUGAAAUGCGUAGAUAUCUGGAGGAACACCGGUGGCGAAGGCGGCAUCCUGGACCGGUAUUGACGCUGAGGCGCGAAAGCCAGGGGAGCAAAGCGGG
rnacentral:rRNA from 1 species